AUACCUUUCUCGGCCUUUUGGCUAAGAUCAAGUGUAGUAAUUGUUCUUAUCAGUUUAAUAUCUGAUAUAUGGGCCAUUUGUCCACACUAUAUUAACUCUAUUUUUUGAGGGGUAAGGCUCAUCAAGGGAGCUUGCUGCCUUGGCUUUCACACGUCGCCUAAGCAUUGAACUGCUGCUUGGGCCUGGCGCAUCCCAC
rfam:Capsicum annuum cultivar Zunla-1 unplaced genomic scaffold scaffold258, whole genome shotgun sequence